rnacentral:tRNA from 1 species
UCCGUUGUGGUCUAGGGGCUAGGAUUUGCCGCUCUCACCGGCAAGGCCCGGGUUCGAUUCCCGGCGACGGAA